GACGAACGCUGGCGGCGUGCUUAACACAUGCAAGUCGAGCCGAAAGGCCCUGCUUUUGUGGGGUGCUCGAGUGGCGAACGGGUGAGUAACACGUGAGUAACCUGCCCUUGACUUUGGGAUAACUUCAGGAAACUGGGGCUAAUACCGGAUAGGAGCUCCUGCUGCAUGGUGGGGGUUGGAAAGUUUCGGCGGUUGGGGAUGGACUCGCGGCUUAUCAGCUUGUUGGUGGGGUAGUGGCUUACCAAGGCUUUGACGGGUAGCCGGCCUGAGAGGGUGACCGGCCACAUUGGGACUGAGAUACGGCCCAGACUCCUACGGGAGGCAGCAGUGGGGAAUAUUGCACAAUGGGCGGAAGCCUGAUGCAGCAACGCCGCGUGCGGGAUGACGGCCUUCGGGUUGUAAACCGCUUUCGCCUGUGACGAAGCGUGAGUGACGGUAAUGGGUAAAGAAGCACCGGCUAACUACGUG
rnacentral:rRNA from 1 species